AUGGUUGAUAACUUAGACGCCUUAGGAAAUUUUAAUUGGCCGAAAGUUAUCUUUGAUAAUCUCCAUGCCUCAUUCGCGAAACUUAAGCAUUUGAAGGAUGACCCGGAUAAGGAACAACACUACUUCAGCGGGUUCGCUCCAAUUUUUGAGGCCGUUGUAUUUAGUAGAAUACAAUCCUUAGCGCCAAAGCCAAAGCCAGAGCUUGCUUGUCUCCAUCCUCCCAUACAAAGUUACAGCAGUAAAAGGACCGGAUGGAGGCCGUUGAACACGAUCGAAGCCUCAGAGGUAUUAUAA